CCCCUGUGAGGGGAGUGAAAUAGAACCUGAAACCGUGUACGUACAAGCAGUAGGAGCAGGCUUUGUCCUGUGACUGCGUACCUUUUGUAUAAUGGGUCAGCGACUUAUAUUCAGUGGCAAGGUUAACCAUCUAGGGGAGCCGUAGGGAAACCGAGUCUUAACUGGGCGUUCAGUCUCUGGAUAUAGACCCGAAACCAGGUGAUCUAGCCAUGGGCAGGUUGAAGGUUGAGUAACAUCAACUGGAGGACCGAACCGACUAAUGUUGAAAAAUUAGCGGAUGACUUGUGGCUAGGGGUGAAAGGCCAAUCAAACCUGGAGAUAGCUGGUUCUCCCCGAAAGCUAUUUAGGUAGCGCCUCGGACGAAUACUACUGGGGGUAGAGCACUGUUAAGGCUAGGGGGUCAUCCCGACUUACCAACCCUUUGCAAACUCCGAAUACCAGUAAGUA
rnacentral:rRNA from 1 species